CCUACGGGUGGCAGCAGUGAGGAAUAUUGGUCAAUGGACGAGAGUCUGAACCAGCCAAGUCGCGUGAAGGAUGACUGCCCUAUGGGUUGUAAACUUCUUUUAUAAAAGAAUAAAACGAGGCACGUGUGCCUGUUUGCAUGUACUUUAUGAAUAAGGAUCGGCUAACUCCGUGCCAGCAGCCGCGGUAAUACGGAGGAUUCGAGCGUUAUCCGGAUUUAUUGGGUUUAAAGGGUGCGUAGAUGGGUUGUUAAGUCAGUUGUGAAAUUUUGCGGCUCAACCGUAAAAUUGCAAUUGAUACUGGCAGUCUAGAGUAUAGUUGCGGUAGGCGGAAUUCGUGGUGUAGCGGUGAAAUGCUUAGAUAUCACGCAGAACCCCGAUUGCGAAGGCAGCUUACUAAACUGUGACUGACAUUGAUGCUCGAAAGUGUGGGUAUCAAACAGGAUUAGAUACCCCGGUAGUC
rnacentral:rRNA from 1 species